rnacentral:rRNA from 1 species
UUAGCCCUAAACACAAAUAAUUAUAAAAACAAAAUUAUUCGCCAGAGUACUACCGGCAACAGCCUAAAACUCAAAGGACUUGGCGGUGCUUUAUACCCUUCUAGAGGAGCCUGUUCUAUAAUCGAUAAACCCCGAUAGACCUCACCAAUUCUUGCUAAUACAGUCUAUAUACCGCCAUCUUCAGCAAACCCUAAAAAGGAAUAAAAGUAAGCAUAAUCACAACACAUAAAAACGUUAGGUCAAGGUGUAACCUAUGAAAUGGGAAGAAAUGGGCUACAUUUUCUACCACAAGAAAAUCACACGAA